GUGCCAGCAGCCGCGGUAAUACGUAAGGAGCGAGCGUUGUCCGGAUUUACUGGGCGUAAAGCGUGCGCAGGUGGUUGUGUAAGUCAGAUGUGAAAUCCCCGGGCUCAACCUGGGAACUGCAUUUGAGACUGCACGGCUAGAGGAUGGCAGAGGGGGGUAGAAUUCCACGUGUAGCAGUGAAAUGCGUAGAGAUGUGGAGGAAUACCGAUGGCGAAGGCAGCCCCCUGGGCUAUUACUGACACUCAUGCACGAAAGCGUGGGGAGCAAACAGGAUUAGAUACCCUGGUAGUCCACGCCCUAAACGAUGUCAACUGGAUGUUGGGAGGGUUAAACCUCUUAGUGUCGUAGCUAACGCGUGAAGUUGACCGCCUGGGGAGUACGGCCGCAAGGCUAAAACUCAAAUAAAUUGGCGG
rnacentral:rRNA from 1 species